ACAGUUGAGGCUGGGAGCAGAAAUAAUCAACAUGCCCAUUAGAUACAGGACGGAAUAAUGCUUCUAUUGGUUGGGUCCCUUCGAGAGAGAACCAUUCUCUGCUUUCAAUAGGACAGAAGAGCUCCUUGGCACUGGAUGCCUCCGGGUCUGGUUGAGAGAGGAAUGGUUAGGAGACUGUUCUGAGGAUACGCAGACAUCAUCCAAAGCUUCCUACAUUCAGAUGAGGACAGAGGUUGGGCCAGAGCUUUGUAAGCUUGUUACCUAAGGAUGGUUCUGACCAUGUAAGCAGAUCACAGAAGCUGGAGGCAAAGGAUGCCAAGAUGGGAAAGCCACAUAAUGGAAGGAUCCUGGAUUUCAGAGCUGUCACUUGGAGGAGGGGCACCCAGUGAAGGUGUCUUAUCUAACCCACACCAUAUCUUCAUGAAGUGGCCAUAUGGAUUUGAUCCCUAUCCUUCAGAGGUGCUCAGCCUAAGGGAACACGGAUAGUAGAUUAAGCACUGACCAGAGCCAGCCUUGACAAUGUGCUGAUGGCAACCUAGAACAUAAGCAGAGGAGUAUACAGGACAAGAACUUGAUGGUCUCGGGAAAAUGGACAACAUGACUCAGGUGAAAAAGAUUGAUCAUCAGAUGUUUCUUAUGUAUCAACCUGAUAUUUAAAUCCAUGAAGGACAGAGACGACAAAGGCAGGUGGAAUAGAUAGAGAAGAGAUUCAAGGUCUGAGCUCUACAUUACUCAAACUGUUAGAGAUUAGGAAGAAGAGGAAGACCUGGCAAAAGAAUGUCCUGGGAUGUAGAAAGAAAACCAGAAGCUUGUGUUCUCUGGAAACCAAAUGAAGAAAGGGCUUCCAGAAGGACAGACAAAGUGUAGUGUGUCAAAGGCUCCUGAGCAAUCAGAGGAGAGCACAAAGGGGCUCACAGGACUUUGGUAUCUGGAUCACCCAGUGACACUUCCUGAUCACGAGAAACUGUCAGACCAACAGGGGCACUUUCUGAAACCAGCAGUUCUUCAGUGCCCAAAUGCAACCUUGAUGGUUUGAUUUUGGAGGAUGGCAAUUCAUUAACAGCACUCCCCAGUGAUAAAUAUGAAAACCAAUAAAACCCCCCACCCAAGGCAAUCUCUCCCAGCUCCUCGCUUUGAGUAAAGUGAGUAACCUCCAUUUCUGCCAACUCCUGUCUUGUCUGAAGCCACAUUUCCCCAGCAAUGUCACAUAUGCAUUUCUUGAUCCUGGUCAUUUCUCCUCUUGGGAGAUGAAUCAUAAAGAAAAUGAGAUCUGUGUGCCCUGGUGACUAUGGAUGCAAGAGUCUGCUGCCCUGGAGGGAACAGCUGGAAAAGUAGAUGGUGAAGACGUGUGGGGGGGAAACAGUGGAGAAGGCAUCUUUGCAGGGGAUCAAGGUGACAGAGUGAUUAGUUACACUGUUUUGACAUGUGAGAACAGGGGGUUAUAAAAAUGGAUACAGGAAGAGGGAGAGAAAGUAAGGACCAAAACAUGAAGCCAGUCAUGAAUGUUUUUACAUAAAAAGCAGCAGAUUUACGGCAAAUAUGUGAUGUUUCCACAUUUUCUGCCUCUAGUUAGCAGGGGCAGCACAAAGAGCAUUACUGUGGAGCUGAACUUUGGGUAAAAGAUUAACAGCCAGUCCUUUCUCUCCAGUGUCUGCUUCCUUCUGGGCUUGCCCUGGGGGAAAAGGAGGGCUGGCAUGGAUAUGCCUGCAGCCCUCACCCUAGAUGUUCUUCCACGCCUCUCUGUUCAUUCAUUGCUUAGUCAUUCCUCAGGCAUGGAUUGAGACCACUGUGUGCCCAGGACCGACCUGGCCUAGGAUGGACAUAGAGAUGGAAAAGGCACAGGGAGCAGGUGACAGAGACAAAUCAAGGUCAUGGAGAAUAGCAGAGUAAGAUAGAAGAUGAAGGCAGGAGAUGGGGUUCUUGAGAAAGCGAGAGCAGGACUGACCCGUGUCUGCCUCACCUGUUAUUGCUGUAGCCUCUUCUCCUUGGAGUAUCCCUCCUGCUCUUGCAUCACCUUAGGAACUUGGAUCAGAGAGGAAAGUUACGGCCUGGAUAUGUUGUAGUAGGAGGGGACAAACAUGUUUGGAGACAGAAAUGCUUGGGGAGCGGGUGUUUUUGGGGGAUGAGACUUUCCAGGUCUCUCAAUUCACACUAUGUAGGUAGUUCACUGCACAGCUUAAAUAAGAGACAACUCUCCGGAGUGGUUGGCUCUCAUCCAAAAAAUGUGUUUUGGGCCUCAGAUUUCCAACGGAAGGGCUGAAGCGUGACUGGCCUGAUGUCAACUACUGAAGUCCACCUGCCCCUGCCCUAUCAGGUGUGGAAAUGCUGGGGUUCCUCUCUCAGAACCUACUUCCUGAGAUGUCGAAAUAUACCCAAGAGUAUUUCUGGGCCUUCUCCAAUCCGAAACUGUUUAGUUUUUGUGUGUGUGUGCCUACUUGGCCACACUAGAAGACAGAGGUGGCCUGGGUGAAAUGCAGGUUUCUAGAGGCUCUCUGACAAAGCUCAGGCCACCAGCCCCAGGCCAGCCUGUGGGUAGUCCUGGCUGACAGUCACUUCAUACCUCACCUGGGCUUUUUGCCAAAUUCAAAGUGUGUGUAUAUGUGGAGUGCUGGGUUCCCACCACUGACAGUCUGUAAGUCAUUCACUUAGCUCAAUUUGUCUUACUUUCUUCUGAAAUUUCUUCCUUCUUGUUCUUUUUCCCAGGAGAAACCAGGAGAAGGCAGUCCUAGGGCAGUCUCCGGGCCAGCUUUCCCUAAUAAGAAGGCAGAGCUCCUCUUCACCCAGACUUCAGACCUAUAGAGGCAGCCUGGGGUCCCGGGAUGCCCUUGCACUCAGAGAUGUCCCCAGAGUCCUAGGGAAAUGGAGGAUAACUAGGAGGAAGCUGUUCAUGGCUGGCGAUGAGGUCUAUACCUUCUUGUCCGUCUCAGUGCUGUCUGCUAUUGAAUUUUUGUGCAGAUCACAUUAACUUAAAGCCAGUUCUCAAGAAGCUCCCCCUGCCGCCGGCAUAUCCACCAGUUGCUCCCCUUUCCUGCCAUUAAUCAGGGUCUGCUAGUUAGAGAACAAAUUCCUAUUUGUCCAAACAGUUGCCAACACCCCCACCCCAAGGUAGUUAAAUGAGGAUGAAUGGGUCAUUCUUAUUAAAAAAUGACUUAAAUUUCUCAAAUUCUAUUUAUGUUUCUUUUACAUCCCAAUUUUCUAUAGAUUUAGUGACUCCAAAUGAUAAGGUCUCAAGCUCAUAAUAAUUUAUCCCUUGGGUAACACACAAGGCUUGGUGGUAUUUCAGUAAUAUUCAUGACAACAGCAGCUGUCGUGCUAAUAAGGACUGAUGUCACCAGAGCACUUUCUAUGUGCCAAGCAUGGUGCACAACACUUUACAUACAUUAUGUCAUUUAAUUUUCA
rnacentral:lncRNA from 1 species